UCUAAUAUGGCAGAUUAGUGCAAAAGAUUUAAGCCCUUUGUAUAAAGUAUAACUUUUAUUAGAA
rnacentral:tRNA from 1 species